GGUUCGUUUUGUUUGAACUGAGUUGUAAGUUCUCUCAGUUUCGAAUACGAACAGUCGAAUACGAUUUGGUGAUAAAAUCGAAUCGUUAUCUUGCGCCUAGUCUUCCACACAGCAGUUAUUUAGUAAUUAACAUUCGUCCACAGCUUUAGGUAGUGCAGAAUUGUUUUCCUCUAACGAAAAUGAAUUCAAAAAUUAUUUUAAUAUCUACUAUAUUUCUGUGCUUUGAAGCAUUCUGUAACGCAGCGUUUUCGGAUUGUGGGUCAGAGGUUGGAUCAAUUGUCAGCGUUGAUAUUAUAGGGUGUGAUGACAAGCCUAGAUGUCCAUU